rnacentral:rRNA from 1 species
GCAUAGCAAUAUGUCAGCGGCAGACGGGUGAGUAACGCGUGGGAACGUACCUUUUGGUUCGGAACAACACAGGGAAACUUGUGCUAAUACCGGAUAAGCCCUUACGGGGAAAGAUUUAUCGCCGAAAGAUCGGCCCGCGUCUGAUUAGCUAGUUGGUGAGGUAAUGGCUCACCAAGGCGACGAUCAGUAGCUGGUCUGAGAGGAUGAUCAGCCACAUUGGGACUGAGACACGGCCCAAACUCCUACGGGAGGCAGCAGUGGGGAAUAUUGGACAAUGGGCGCAAGCCUGAUCCAGCCAUGCCGCGUGAGUGAUGAAGGCCCUAGGGUUGUAAAGCUCUUUUGUGCGGGAAGAUAAUGACGGUACCGCAAGAAUAAGCCCCGGCUAACUUCGUGCCAGCAGCCGCGGUAAUACGAAGGGGGCUAGCGUUGCUCGGAAUCACUGGGCGUAAAGGGUGCGUAGGCGGGUCUUUAAGUCAGGGGUGAAAUCCUGGAGCUCAACUCCAGAACUGCCUUUGAUACUGAAGAUCUUGAGUUCGGGAGAGGUGAGUGGAACUGCGAGUGUAGAGGUGAAAUUCGUAGAUAUUCGCAAGAACACCAGUGGCGAAGGCGGCUCACUGGCCCGAUACUGACGCUGAGC